UAUGGAUUACAGUUGCCAUCUCAGACUAUGGCAAAGCUAGGCAGGUUAGUGGCCUGAAAACAUGAAAGGAGCAUAAUCAGUAAAAUCGGGAAAAACCAGGCAGGCUGACCAGAACUACUGGGAAGAGAUACAAAUUAGAAAGCAAGCAGAAUUGUGGCGUGAUCUGCAUUCUUUAAUCAAAGGAAUGAGGCUCUCUAAGAGUAAGGUGGGAUUCAGCACUGCAGAGACACAAGUCUUGGUCAUGGCUGGAUUGUGCAUUCUGUUGUCACUAAGUCCCUGACCCUAUGGCAAUGACAUCAUAAUGACCCCAAAUGCAAGUGAAGUAAACAGAAUCAGGGUAGGGCUCCAGGUGCUCUGGUGAACUCGACUUGGUGGAUGGUGUGGAAGGGCCUUUGGAGAGACCUGUGCCCACGCUAAAAGUGAAAAUGAAGGUGUUCGUUUGAGUUUGCUUGUGUGGAGCUUUUUUGGCACGGUUGACCCAUCUGUGCUCCUCCCUGUGAGUUGAUGUCACACAGGGCUUUUUUUUGGGAUUAAGGAGGCAUGGAGUUCCCAACCCUGGGGCCAUGGAUCAGUACGAGUCCAUGACCUGUCAGGAACUGGGCUGCACAGCAGGAGCACCUGGUUCUUCUUGACAACUGCACAUUUUGCUACAUGCUGUGACGACCAGGAGAGUCAUUUAAACUUUUAUUUGGAAGACUCAUGUCCAACUUGGAACACAAGCUACAAAAGAAUUCCCUACCAGCGUGCCAGCACAUCAUUUGGAAGUUCAAGGUAUUUUUGCUUAACUGCAUACCCAUUAAGAGUCCCUGGAAGAGUACAUGGCGCCUGCUGCCUGGGGUUCGACUCUGCUGUUGGGGAUUCCAGAAAUUAGAGCAGAAUUCAUAGCUCUGCCUCUCCACCUGCUGUGAGGUUCAAGUUACAAUGCCGCUGCCUAUCAGGGACCUCCAUGAUUAGUAAGCGGGCACUGUCAUAUUUUUCUC